AACGCACCUUGCACCCUUUGGUAUUCCGAAGGGUAUGCCUGUUUGAGUGUCAUUAAAUUCUCAACUUCAAAAGGAUUUUGUCUUUUUUUGAAGCUUGGACUAUGGAAGUUUGCUGGUAUCACUAUCAGCUCUUCUUAAAUGCAUUAGCGGAACUUUGAAGGACCAGCUUUGGUUUGAUAAUCCUAUCUAUGCCGCUGCUGUGGACUUGUGUGUGUUCAGCUUCUAAUGGUCUUCGGACUGUCUCCAUUGUGAGGCAUACACUUUUAAGCUUGACCUCAAAUCAGGUAGGACUACCCGCUGAACUUAA
rnacentral:misc_RNA from 1 species